AUUGAACGCUGGCGGCAAGCCUAACACAUGCAAGUCGAGCGGAUGAAGGGAGCUUGCUCCUGGAUUCAGCGGCGGACGGGUGAGUAAUGCCUAGGAAUCUGCCUGGUAGUGGGGGAUAACGUCCGGAAACGGGCGCUAAUACCGAAUACGUCCUGAGGGAGAAAGUGGGGGAUCUUCGGACCUCACGCUAUCAGAUGAGCCUAGGUCGGAUUAGCUAGUUGGUGGGGUAAAGGCCUACCAAGGCGACGAUCCGUAACUGGUCUGAGAGGAUGAUCAGUCACACUGGAACUGAGACACGGUCCAGACUCCUACGGGAGGCAGCAGUGGGGAAUAUUGGACAAUGGGCGAAUGCCUGAUCCAGCCAUGCCGCGUGUGUGAAGAAGGUCUUCGGAUUGUAAAGCACUUUAAGUUGGGAGGAAGGGCAGUAAGUUAAUACCUUGCUGUUUUGACGUUACCAACAGAAUAAGCACCGGCUAACUUCGUG
rnacentral:rRNA from 1 species